AGUAAAAGUCGUAACAAGGUUUCCGUAGGUGAACCUGCGGAAGGAUCAUUAAAGAGUAAGGGUGCUCAGCGCCCGACCUCCAACCCUUUGUUGUUAAAACUACCUUGUUGCUUUGGCGGGACCGCUCGGUUCCGAGCCGCUGGGGAUUCGUCCCAGGCGAGUGCCCGCCAGAGUUAAACCAAACUCUUGUUAUUAAACCGGUCGUCUGAGUUAAAAUUUUGAAUAAAUCAAAACUUUCGACAACGGAUCUCUUGGUUCUCGCAUCGAUGAAGAACGCAGCGAAAUGCGAUAAGUAAUGUGAAUUGCAGAAUUCAGUGAAUCAUCGAAUCUUUGAACGCACAUUGCGCCCCUUGGUAUUCCGAGGGGCAUGCCUGUUCGAGCGUCAUUACACCACUCAAGCUAUGCUUGGUAUUGGGUGCCGUCCUUAGUUGGGCGCGCCUUAAAGACCUCGGCGAGGCCACUCCGGCUUUAGGCGUAGUAGAAUUUAUUCGAACGUCUGUCAAAGGAGAGGAACUCUGCCGAUUGAAACCUUUAUUUUUCUAGGUUGACCUCGGAUCAGGUAGGGAUACCCGCUGAACUUAAGCAUAUCAAUAAGCGG
rnacentral:rRNA from 1 species